GACGAACGCUGGCGGCGUGCUUAACACAUGCAAGUCGAACGGAAAGGCCCUGCUUUUGUGGGGUGCUCGAGUGGCGAACGGGUGAGUAACACGUGAGUAACCUGCCCUUGACUUUGGGUUAACUUCAGGAAACUGGGGCUAAUACCGGAUAGGAGCUCCUGCUGCAUGGUGGGGGUUGGAAAGUUUCGGCGGUUGGGGAUGGACUCGCGGCUUAUCAGCUUGUUGGUGGGGUAGUGGCUUACCAAGGCUUUGACGGGUAGCCGGCCUGAGAGGGUGACCGGCCACAUUGGGACUGAGAUACGGCCCAGACUCCUACGGGAGGCAGCAGUGGGGAAUAUUGCACGAUGGGCGGAAGCCUGAUGCAGCAACGCCGCGUGCGGGAUGACGGCCUUCGGGUUGUAAACCGCUUUCGCCUGUGACGAAGCGUGAGUGACGGUAAUGGGUAAAGAAGCACCGGCUAACUACGUG
rnacentral:rRNA from 1 species